rnacentral:rRNA from 1 species
UGAGACCUCAGGUCAGGCGGGAUUACCC